UACGUAGGGUGCAAGCGUUGUCCGGAAUUAUUGGGCGUAAAGAGCUCGUAGGCGGUUUGUCGCGUCUGCUGUGAAAACUCGGGGCUUAACCCCGGGCCUGCAGUGGGUACGGGCAGACUAGAGUGCGGUAGGGGAGACUGGAAUUCCUGGUGUAGCGGUGAAAUGCGCAGAUAUCAGGAGGAACACCGGUGGCGAAGGCGGUCUGCUGGGCAGUUGCUGACGCUGAUGCGCGACAGCGUGGGGAGCAAACGAGG
rnacentral:rRNA from 1 species